rnacentral:lncRNA from 1 species
AAGACGAAGCGUCGCGUACCCGGAUUGGUCAGGAUUGGAUGGGCCGGGAGGCUCCCGAGGGAGCCCAGGAGCCGGUCCGUCGGGGGCCAGGGUGAAAGCCAGGGACCGACGCGGUCGACGAGGCGGGGGAGAAGCGCCCGUCGUAGGCUCGGCGGUAUCCAACGACCGAACGAUGUAGGAAGAGCGUGGUGGGGGAGUCCAGACGGGCCCACAGGC